UCUGGGACAAGCCCUGGAAACGGGGUCUAAUACCGGAUAACACCCCCUCUCGCAUGGGAGGGGGUUCAAAGCUCCGGCGGUGCAGGAUGAGCCCGCGGCCUAUCAGCUUGUUGGUGAGGUAGUGGCUCACCAAGGCGACGACGGGUAGCCGGCCUGAGAGGGCGACCGGCCACACUGGGACUGAGACACGGCCCAGACUCCUACGGGAGGCAGCAGUGGGGAAUAUUGCACAAUGGGCGAAAGCCUGAUGCAGCGACGCCGCGUGAGGGAUGACGGCCUUCGGGUUGUAAACCUCUUUCAGCAGGGAAGAAGCGAAAGUGACGGUACCUGCAGAAGAAGCGCCGGCUAACUACGUGCCAGCAGCCGCGGUAAUACGUAGGGCGCAAGCGUUGUCCGGAAUUAUUGGGCGUAAAGAGCUCGUAGGCGGCUUGUCACGUCGGUUGUGAAAGCCCGGGGCUUAACCCCGGGUCUGCAGUCGAUACGGGCAGGCUAGAGUUCGGUAGGGGAGAUCGGAAUUCCUGGUGUAGCGGUGAAAUGCGCAGAUAUCAGGAGGAACACCGGUGGCGAAGGCGGAUCUCUGGGCCGAUACUGACGCUGAGGAGCGAAAGCGUGGGGAGCGAACAGGAUUAGAUACCCUGGUAGUCCACGCCGUAAACGGUGGGCACUAGGUGUGGGCAACAUUCCACGUUGUCCGUGCCGCAGCUAACGCAUUAAGUGCCCCGCCUGG
rnacentral:rRNA from 1 species